CGUGAUCCGCCCUUCGGGGUGGUGAAAGUGGCGCACGGGUGAGUAACGCGUGGAUAAUCUGCCCGAGGAUUUGGGAUAACAUCUCGAAAGGGGUGCUAAUACCGAAUAAGCCCACGGGGUCUACGGAUCUUGCGGGAAAAGGGGGGGACCUUCGGGCCUCCUGUCCUUGGAUGAGUCUGCGUACCAUUAGCUAGUUGGUGGGGUAAUGGCCUACCAAGGCGACGAUGGUUAGCUGGUCUGAGAGGAUGAUCAGCCACACUGGAACUGAGACACGGUCCAGACUCCUACGGGAGGCAGCAGUGGGGAAUUUUGCGCAAUGGGGGAAACCCUGACGCAGCAACGCCGCGUGGGUGAUGAAGGCCUUCGGGUCGUAAAGCUCUGUCUGGAGGGAAGAAAUGAUUGGGAGCUAAUACCUCUUGAUCUUGACGGUACCUCUGAAGGAAGCACCGGCUAACUCCGUGCCAGCAGCCGCGGUAAUACGGAGGGUGCAAGCGUUGUUCGGAAUUAUUGGGCGUAAAGCGCGUG
rnacentral:rRNA from 1 species